rnacentral:rRNA from 1 species
UACGUAGGGGGCUAGCGUUGUCCGGAAUUACUGGGCGUAAAGCGCACGUAGGCGGCUUUGUAAGUCAGAGGUGAAAUCCCGGGGCUCAACCCCGGAACUGCCUUUGAGACUGCAUCGCUUGAAUCCAGGAGAGGUGAGUGGAAUUCCGAGUGUAGAGGUGAAAUUCGUAGAUAUUCGGAAGAACACCAGUGGCGAAGGCGGCUCACUGGACUGGUAUUGACGCUGAGGUGCGAAAGCGUGGGGAGCAAACAGG